rnacentral:rRNA from 2 species
UUCCGGUUGAUCCUGCCAGAGGCUACUGCUAUCGGGGUCCGACUAAGCCAUGCGAGUUGAGAGGGGUAAGCCCUCGGCAUAUUGCUCAGUAACACGCGGAUAACCUGCCCUUGGGUUUGGGAUAACCCCGGGAAACUGGGACUAAUACCGGAUAGAUCAAAGAAACUGGAAUGUUCUCUGAUCGAAAGCUCCGGCGCCCAAGGAUGGGUCUGCGGCCUAUCAGGUAGUAGUGGGUGUAACGUACCUACUAGCCUACGACGGGUAAGGGUUGUGAGAGCAAGAGCCCUGAGAUGGAUUCUGAGACAUGAAUCCAGGCCCUACGGGGUGCAGCAGGCGCGAAAACUUUACACUGCGGGAAACCGCGAUAAGGGGACCCCGAGUGCCAGCACCUAGUGCUGGCUGUCCAGCUGUUCAAAUAACAGUUGUUAGCAAGGGCCGGGCAAGACCGGUGCCAGCCGCCGCGGUAACACCGGCGGCCCGAGUGGUAGCCGUUAUUAUUGGGUUUAAAGGGUCCGUAGCCGGCCUAUUAAGUCUCUUGGGAAAUCUGGCGACUCAAUCGUCAGGCGUUCAAGAGAUACUGGUAGGCUUGGGACCGGGAGAGGUGGGAGGUACUCCAGGGGUAGGGGUGAAAUCUCGUAAUCCUUGGGGGACCACCGAUGGCGAAGGCAUCCCACCAGAACGGGUCCGACGGUGAGGGACGAAAGCUGGGGGCACGAACCGGAUUAGAUACCCGGGUAGUCCCAGCCGUAAACGAUGCUCGCUAGGUGUCAGGUGCGGUGCGACCGCAUCUGGUGCCGCAGUGAAAACUUGAAGCGAGUCACCUGGGAAGUACGGUCGCAAGGCUGAAACUUAAAGGAAUUGGCGGGGGAGCACUACAACGGGUGGAGCCUGCGGUUCAAUUGGAGUCAACGCCGGG